rnacentral:lncRNA from 1 species
UACAGGACUAGAAAAUAAAACAAAAAUAAUUGACUCAAAAACAUAAAAUGGCUCCUCGAGCAGCUCCUGAAUGCAGUGAUCCUGACUGAAUGGUCCCGAUGUGUAUGUCAUACUCAGACUCCAGUAAGUAGACCCACACCUGUAUGAGAAAACUUUAACCAACACUAUAUGAGAUAAUAACACUCCCUAUUAGACACAUGCAAGACAUAAUUGAGGCUAUUUUUGCAAAAUGACUUAUUUGGCCAAAAGGUGGUUAGAAGUGCAAAAUUUGGCUAAGACCCCGCAAAGCGAAGAACUUAAGAUUUACUAGGAAGACUGGACCCUAUGUGGGUUGCCUACGCAUCCCGCCCCGAGAGACGAGAAUUAGGUUUGCGUAGUUCGGACAGAUUGGAUACGAGCGAGAAUAAUAAAAAAAUCACUAAUUUAUAGAAAUCACAUUUUUUUGCUUUUUCUUGAAAAAUGACGAAACAUAAAUCUUUUUGGAUUUUCUUUUUGCUUUUUUUUUGAUUUUUUGAUUUUCGACACAAGAUGUAAAAAUGCAAAUUUUUUUUUGAAUUUUCAAGCUCGCUUUAUCUUCACACUUCAGCCUCUCUUUUUUCUUUUUUUUUUCUCUUUUUUUCAUUCGACCUCAAUUAUCAUUGGUCGCCAAAUGACCCUUUUACCCUUGAAGAAAUGCAACAUGUAGCACAUAGGAUGCAUCAAGAUGGUCUGUUAUUUUGGGUACACCUGCCCUAGACGGACCCAACCCCUGUGUUGAGUCCCCAAAGUCAAAUGCACAUGAUGCAAACAAACGUGCCUACUAGGGAUCCGACAUGAGACUGAGUUAUUCUAGGUUCAAAACCUGGGUUUAUUAUUCUAGACCUGGCUUACUCGAGCGGACAGCUCGAGCUGAGGGGGGGCAGCGUACCGGGAAUACAGAAGCUUCACCGGCUUUGCAACUUGUCCGAACCUCGUUCUAAAUUUGGAAUAUGGCACUAACAGAAAAGACGUCACACGAAGUGCACACUUCUUCAUGAUUUAGAAGACUCAGAGAGAAGAGGGAUUUCGCAAUAAUUUAUAUACAGUUCACGGAAUAUCGAAGCGGUAAAAGCAAUCAAUUAGCACAUUAGGCCCAGAUCAUGUAACAAAAUCAAAUAAUGGAUAAAGCCAACUAUAAUAAUUAUUCUAAGCUCGAAUUCUUGAACCCUGAACCAGAGAUUCUGAGUUCGGUCCCCAACAGAGUCGCUAGAGCUGUCACACCUCCUUUUUACCUACACCCCCGGGAAGGGUAUAUAAUGGAGUUUUUUCACUUUAAAGUGACUAUCGAAACGGGAUCAUUUUAUUAAAAAUUCAGAGUCGCCACUUGGGAUAAUUUAGGGUGUCCCAAGUCACCGGUUCAAAUCCCGAAUCAAGGAAAGAUUUGACUCUAUUUUAUAGUCCGCGAACACAAAAAUUCGGGUAAGAAAUUCCGUUAACCCGGGAGAAGGUGUUAGGCAUUCUCGAGUUCCGUAGUUCUAGCACAGUCGCUCAACUGUUAUAAUUGGCCUAUUAUCAGAUUUUUAAUACAUGUUCAAACCUAUGUGAAUUUUUGACUUUAAACCGCUUUUAAUUAUUUAAAGAAUUAAUUCAAGAUUAUUUAAAACAUAUCACAAGCCACGCUACAUGAAAUGCGCCCGUGGUUCACGACACAUUCUAUUUUACCUUGUUGGAAAUUCGAACCGGGUCACAUAAAAUGCACACCCAAAAUUAGUAAUUAAAGAAAAUCAAUUUAAAGAACGCGCCUAAAGCAACUACGAAGGUCAAAAUUAAUGAAUAAACGUCGAAAUUCACGCGAAAAAUUACAUAUAUUUACCAAGGUGUUUUGAGCUUGAAGAAGAAUGGGAACAUGGAAAGGGACUAAUUAGUCUGGUCAACUUUUCUUCUUGAUAGACUUAUUCCCACCAAUAAGAUUUGAUUAACUAUAUAUACUAAGCUUCAUCUGUUCUAAAUCAAAUUAUAUUUCAAUAGAGCAAAACUUGACCAAAAUCUUAGAGGGGCUCAAGCAGAUAGCAUGAAGGUUGAAGCAAAAUACUACAAUAAUGCAUUUCAUUUCUCAGCCAAAUGUCAACGGCUUAAUUAGAUAACAAAGGAAAGGAGUGGCCUAAAGCCCAAAAUUGUACCAAUUUCUAUAAAAUAGUUCACCUACAAAAGCCCGUAACAUCAUUAUCAUCCCAAAUUAUCAAAACUCAAAUACCAUGGCACCCAGGCUAAAACUAUCUUAAACAUGACACAAAUACUUGACUAGUCUAAGGAAAUUAUCUUUAAGCUCCAACGGAUUCAUCCCAAGUCGAUUAAGCGUUCGAAUGACCGAUUAAAUUAACAUGCUAAAUCCAGUAGGCCAACACAUUAAACUAAAGAAAAUUGCAUUCCAUCAUAAAAUAAGCAUAAACUUGAUUUAACAUUUAUUAAAGUUAACAAUAAGGUAUGAACUUAAGAACAAGUUUGAGAGGUGGACCUUUACAUGAUCAUCCUGAAGCUCGAAUAACUCACAAGGACGCAAACAGAGCCUCGACCCAGAAACACAGAGCAAGACCCGACCAUCUCAGAACUCGACUAGAAACCAACAACCAAACGAAUCAAACACGAAAACCCGAACAAGACCGACGCGAACCGAGAUGUUUUGGGUGGUAGUUCCUACUCUUUCAUGGCUGUUUGGAUCAUUUUAAUGGAGGUUUCUCACUGGCUUUCAUGAUGUUGAAGCUGGGUUUUAUGGUGGUUGUUUGGAGUUAGUUUGAUGGGUGUUUUGGAGGUGAGAGGAGUAGAUUUUAGGGGCUGGUUGCAGCAGCUCGUUGCUGCAUGUUUUGGAGGUUUAUUAGGUUGGCUUUGAUGGAGUUUCAAGAGAUACUUUUGGAGGAAACAAUGAGAUGGUAACGGGGGAGAUUUUCUACUCUUUCAUGGCUGCAUAUUUGGGUGUAUUUUUGUGUUCAAGAACAAAGAAGAGGCUGCUCUUGCUUUCAGAAGGAGCUGCGCCACCUUUUUUUUUCUCUUUUUCCUCCCCUUUUUGUGUAUUCACGACUGCUAGUGUUAAG